rnacentral:rRNA from 1 species
UGGGGAAUCUUCCGCAAUGGACGAAAGUCUGACGGAGCAACGCCGCGUGAGUGAUGACGGCCUUCGGGUUGUAAAGCUCUGUUAAUCGGGACGAAUGGUUCUUGUGCAAAUAGUGCGAGGAUUUGACGGUACCGGAAUAGAAAGCCACGGCUAACUACGUGCCAGCAGCCGAGGUAAUACGUAGGUGGCAAGCGUUGUCCGGAAUUAUUGGGCGUAAAGCGCGCGCAGGCGGAUUGGUCAGUCUGUCUUAAAAGUUCGGGGCUUAACCCCGUGAUGGGAUGGAAACUGCCAAUCUAGAGUAUCGGAGAGGAAAGUGGAAUUCCUCGUGUAGCGGUGAAAUGCGUAGAUAUUAGGAAGAACACCAGUGGCGAAGGCGACUUUCUGGACGAAAACUGACGCUGAGGCGCGAAAGCCAGGGGAGCGAACGGG